GACGAACGCUGGCGGCGUGCUUAACACAUGCAAGUCGAACGAAGAGCGAUGGAAGCUUGCUUCUAUCAAUCUUAGUGGCGAACGGGUGAGUAACGCGUAAUCAACCUGCCCUUCAGAGGGGGACAACAGUUGGAAACGACUGCUAAUACCGCAUACGAUCUGACCUCGGCAUCGAGGAUAGAUGAAAGGUGGCCUCUACAUGUAAGCUAUCACUGAAGGAGGGGAUUGCGUCUGAUUAGCUAGUUGGAGGGGUAACGGCCCACCAAGGCGAUGAUCAGUAGCCGGUCUGAGAGGAUGAACGGCCACAUUGGGACUGAGACACGGCCCAGACUCCUACGGGAGGCAGCAGUGGGGAAUCUUCCGCAAUGGACGAAAGUCUGACGGAGCAACGUCGCGUGAGGGAUGACGGCCUUCGGGUUGUAAAGCUCUGUUAAUCGGGACGAAAGGCCUUUUUGCGAAUAGUGAGAAGGAUUGACGGUACCGGAAUAGAAAGCCACGGCUAACUACGUG
rnacentral:rRNA from 1 species